rnacentral:rRNA from 1 species
GGGUUGUGAGGUUAAGCGACUAAGCGUACACGGUGGAUGCCCUGGCAGUCAGAGGCGAUGAAGGACGUGCUAAUCUGCGAAAAGCGUCGGUAAGGUGAUAUGAACCGUUAUAGCCGGCGAUGUCCGAAUGGGGAAACCCAGUGCAAUUCGUUGCACUAUCGUUAACUGAAUACAUAGGUUAACGAGGCGAACCGGGGGAACUGAAACAUCUAAGUACCCCGAGGAAAAGAAAUCAACCGAGAUUCCCCCAGUAGCGGCGAGCGAACGGGGAGCAGCCCAGAGUCUGAAUCAGCUUGUGUGUUAGUGGAACGGUCUGGAAAGUCCGACGGUACAGGGUGAUAGUCCCGUACACCAAAAUGCACAGGUUGUGAACUCGAAGAGUAGGGCGGGACACGUGGUAUCCUGUCUGAAUAUGGGGGGACCAUCCUCCAAGGCUAAAUACUCCUGACUGACCGAUAGUGAACCAGUACCGUGAGGGAAAGGCGAAAAGAACCCCGGCGAGGGGAGUGAAAAAGAACCUGAAACCGUGUACGUACAAGCAGUGGGAGCACCUUCGGGUGUGACUGCGUACCUUUUGUAUAAUGGGUCAGCGACUUAUAUUCUGUAGCAAGGUUAACCGUAUAGGGGAGCCGCAGGGAAACCGAGUCUUAACUGGGCGUUAAGUUGCAGGGUAUAGACCCGAAACCCGGUGAUCUAGCCAUGGGCAGGUUGAAGGUUGGGUAACACUAACUGGAGGACCGAACCGACUAAUGUUGAAAAAUUAGCGGAUGACUUGUGGCUGGGGGUGAAAGGCCAAUCAAACCGGGAGAUAGCUGGUUCUCCCCGAAAGCUAUUUAGGUAGCGCCUCGUGAACUCAUCUUCGGGGGUAGAGCACUGUUUCGGCUAGGGGGUCAUCCCGACUUACCAACCCGAUGCAAACUACGAAUACCGAAGAAUGUUAUCACGGGAGACACACGGCGGGUGCUAACGUCCGUCGUGAAGAGGGAAACAACCCAGACCGCCAGCUAAGGUCCCAAAGUCAUGGUUAAGUGGGAAACGAUGUGGGAAGGCACAGACAGCCAGGAUGUUGGCUUAGAAGCAGCCAUCAUUUAAAGAAAGCGUAAUAGCUCACUGGUCGAGUCGGCCUGCGCGGAAGAUGUAACGGGGCUAAACCAUGCACCGAAGCUGCGGCAGCGACACGAUGUGUUGUUGGGUAGGGGAGCGUUCUGUAAGCCUGCGAAGGUGACCUGUGAGGGUUGCUGGAGGUAUCAGAAGUGCGAAUGCUGACAUAAGUAACGAUAAAGCGGGUGAAAAGCCCGCUCGCCGGAAGACCAAGGGUUCCUGUCCAACGUUAAUCGGGGCAGGGUGAGUCGACCCCUAAGGCGAGGCCGAAAGGCGUAGUCGAUGGGAAACAGGUUAAUAUUCCUGUACUUGGUGUUACUGCGAAGGGGGGACGGAGAAGGCUAUGUUAGCCGGGCGACGGUUGUCCCGGUUUAAGCAUGUAGGCUGGUUAUCCAGGCAAAUCCGGAUAAUCAAGGCUGAGGUGUGAUGACGAGGCACUACGGUGCUGAAGUAACAAAUGCCCUGCUUCCAGGAAAAGCCUCUAAGCAUCAGGUAACAUCAAAUCGUACCCCAAACCGACACAGGUGGUCAGGUAGAGAAUACCAAGGCGCUUGAGAGAACUCGGGUGAAGGAACUAGGCAAAAUGGUGCCGUAACUUCGGGAGAAGGCACGCUGGUGUGUAGGUGAAGUCCCUGCGGAUGGAGCUGAGACCAGUCGAAGAUACCAGCUGGCUGCAACUGUUUAUUAAAAACACAGCACUGUGCAAACACGAAAGUGGACGUAUACGGUGUGACGCCUGCCCGGUGCCGGAAGGUUAAUUGAUGGGGUUAUCCGUAAGGAGAAGCUCUUGAUCGAAGCCCCGGUAAACGGCGGCCGUAACUAUAACGGUCCUAAGGUAGCGAAAUUCCUUGUCGGGUAAGUUCCGACCUGCACGAAUGGCGUAAUGAUGGCCAGGCUGUCUCCACCCGAGACUCAGUGAAAUUGAACUCGCUGUGAAGAUGCAGUGUACCCGCGGCAAGACGGAAAGACCCCGUGAACCUUUACUAUAGCUUGACACUGAACAUUGAGCCUUGAUGUGUAGGAUAGGUGGGAGGCUUUGAAGCGUGGACGCCAGUCUGCGUGGAGCCAACCUUGAAAUACCACCCUUUAAUGUUUGAUGUUCUAACGUGGGCCCCUGACCGGGGUUGCGGACAGUGUCUGGUGGGUAGUUUGACUGGGGCGGUCUCCUCCCAAAGCGUAACGGAGGAGCACGAAGGUUAGCUAAUCCUGGUCGGACAUCAGGAGGUUAGUGCAAUGGCAUAAGCUAGCUUGACUGCGAGCGUGACGGCGCGAGCAGGUGCGAAAGCAGGUCAUAGUGAUCCGGUGGUUCUGAAUGGAAGGGCCAUCGCUCAACGGAUAAAAGGUACUCCGGGGAUAACAGGCUGAUACCGCCCAAGAGUUCAUAUCGACGGCGGUGUUUGGCACCUCGAUGUCGGCUCAUCACAUCCUGGGGCUGAAGUAGGUCCCAAGGGUAUGGCUGUUCGCCAUUUAAAGUGGUACGCGAGCUGGGUUUAGAACGUCGUGAGACAGUUCGGUCCCUAUCUGCCGUGGGCGCUGGAGAAUUGAGGGGGGCUGCUCCUAGUACGAGAGGACCGGAGUGGACGCAUCACUGGUGUUCGGGUUGUCAUGCCAAUGGCACUGCCCGGUAGCUAAAUGCGGAAGAGAUAAGUGCUGAAAGCAUCUAAGCACGAAACUUGCCCCGAGAUGAGUUCUCCCUGAGACUAUAAGUCUCCUGAAGGAACGUUGAAGACGACGACGUUGAUAGGCCGGGUGUGUAAGCGCAGCGAUGCGUUGAGCUAACCGGUACUAAUGAACCGUGAGGCUUAACCUUACAACGCCGAAG